GGAGGGGGACCCAAGCGGUCAACGGGGGCAGACUGUAAAUCUGCUGGCUAUGCCUUCGUAGGUUCGAAUCCUACCCCCUCCACCA
rnacentral:tRNA from 1 species